GUCAGCACCUGCGUCACGCCGACGGGACGUGAGGAACGCGGUGGGCGGAGCCCUAAUAGGUUCACCGGGAGGGCGGCCGGACGGACAGCCACCCUCGGCCCCCUGCGGUAAACCUGCCCGGGAAUCGUCUCACACGCCCAUGGAAGAACCACGCACGGAUGACAUAACCUGCACGCAGCAGGCAUCGGUGCGGUGUGAGUACAUCCUUGAGUUUAACCACACAGCCCCCGGCACAGGUCAAUGCUGUGCCUGUGACCCUACUGAGAUUACCGGGCGCUGCCGUUCACUAUAAGACCCAAUCAGUUGUGUCAUCAUGGCACAAGUAUCAGCCAAGUUAAUACGCAAAGCAAUGACAGACGUGAGUUGUAGAGACCAGUAAUACCCCACCAAAACAAACUCAGCGAAAGCCUCCAGGCCAAGGAGAGGUUUUCACAGGUUGGCGGCUUGUUUUGUAGGCAGCAGCACUCUCUGCUGUGCUUUAAGUUGAACUACAUCUGUUCAGUGGAAUCAACGACUGAAGUAAAGAUUCCAAGGAUCUUGGCAAUAUCCUAAAAUGUGGUGAUAUAAACCGCGGCUGUCUGUGGAUGACAAGUAUGAACUAAAGCAAGGCGAGCCUGCUCCUUAAUGACAGGUACCGCAAUUCAGCAGUCGCUCUUGCACUGUUUCCACAGACCAUAGAGGCAUCCAACAAACAGCAGGUCCCACUAUAACAUCCUUGUUUCACAACGUUGGGCUGUCCAGUUUGAGCCGUCCUGAAAGCCUUUCCGGUGCGAGAGCCGCGCCGAGGUCCGGUGUCGGGUGUGCGGCGCGGAGCCAGGGCGUGUUGGACGAGACGGGCCCUUGGCCCCGCGUCUCGGCAGCUUGCGGCGGAUUAGAGCGCAGACAGUCCGCUGGCACAGGGGAGCGGCAGGACAGAUGGUGUUUAGCCUGGCUAAGCUCUCGCUCGUCGCUGCUCAGACCCCACAUCGAUAGCCAGUGAACUCUGCCGCCCGCCACGGGCGGUCUGUGCGCGGUACGAGGGGAGCCGGGAGGGUUGUUGUGUUUGGGUGCUGCUAGAUCAGUCUGACUCAU
ensembl:lncRNA